rnacentral:rRNA from 1 species
CAUAUCAAUAAGCGGAGGAAAAGAAACCAACAGGGAUUGCCCCAGUAACGGCGAGUGAAGCGGCAACAGCUCAGAUUUGAAAUCUGGCCCCCAGGGCCCGAGUUGUAAUCUGUAGAGGAUGCUUCUGGCAAGGCGCCGUCCGAGUUCCCUGGAACGGGACGCCGGAGAGGGUGAGAGCCCCGUACAGGCGGACGCCGAGCCUCUGUGAAGCUCCUUCGACGAGUCGAGUAGUUUGGGAAUGCUGCUCAAAGCGGGAGGUAAAUUUCUUCUAAAGCUAAAUAUAGGCCAGAGACCGAUAGCGCACAAGUAGAGUGAUCGAAAGAUGAAAAGCACUUUGAAAAGAGGGUUAAAAAGCACGUGAAAUUGUUGAAAGGGAAGCGCCUGUGACCAGACUCGCGCCCGGCGGAUCAUCCGGCGUUCUCGCCGGUGCACUCCGYCGGGCUCGGGCCAGCAUCGGUUCUGGUGGGGGGAUAAAGGCGGCGGGGAUGUGGCUCCCCCGGGAGUGUUAUAGCCCGCCGCUCAAUGCCCUCGCCGGGACCGAGGACCGCGCAUUUGCAAGGAUGCUGGCGUAAUGGUCACCAGCGACCCGUCUUGAAACACGGACCAAGGAGUCAAGCAUUAGGGCGAGUGUUUGGGUGUAAAACCCGCACGCGAAAUGAAAGUGAACGUAGGUGGGAGCCUCGGCGCACCAUCGACCGAUCCUGAAGUCUUCGGAUGGAUUUGAGUAAGAGCCUUACCGCUUGGACCCGAAAGAUGGUGAACUAUGCUUGUGUAGGGUGAAGCCAGAGGAAACUCUGGUGGAGGCUCGCAGCGGUUCUGACGUGCAAAUCGAUCGUCAAACAUGAGCA